rnacentral:tRNA from 1 species
GUCGGAAUGGCGGAAUGGUAGACGCCGCGGACUUAAAAUCCGCUGAGUGAAGACUCGUACGGGUUCAAGUCCCGUUUCCGACA